rnacentral:rRNA from 1 species
UAGGGAAUAUUGGACAAUGGGGGCAACCCUGAUCCAGCCAUUCCGCGUGCAGGACUAAGGCCCUAUGGGUCGUAAACUGCUUUUGUAUGGGAAAAAAUCACUUUAUGCGUAGAGUGUUGAUGGUACCAUGAGAAUAAGGAUCGGCUAACUUCGUGCCAGCAGCCGCGGUAAUACGAAGGAUCCAAGCGUUGUCCGGAUUUACUGGGUUUAAAGGGUGCGUAGGCGGGGAAUUAAGUCAGUGGUGAAAGCUGGUAGCUUAACUAUCAAAUAGCCAUUGAAACUGAUUUUCUUGAGUGCGGUUGAGGUAGCUGGAAUGUAACAUGUAGCGGUGAAAUGCUUAGAUAUGUUACAGAACACCAAUUGCGAAGGCAGGCUACUAAGCCGUAACUGACGCUGAGGC